GUGCCAGCCGCCGCGGUAAUACAGAGGGUGCGAGCGUUAAUCGGAGUUACUGGGCGUAAAGGGCGCGUAGGCAGUUGAUUAAGUGAGAUGUGAAAUCCCUGGGCUUAACCUAGGAAUUGCAACUCAUACUGGUUGGCUGGAGUAUAGUAGAGGGUAGUGGAAUUUCCGGUGUAGCGGUGAAAUGCGUAGAUAUCGGAAGGAACACCAGUGGCGAAGGCGACUACCUGGACUGAUACUGACGCUGAGGCGCGAGAGCGUGGGGAGCAAACAGGAUUAGAUACCCUGGUAGUCC
rnacentral:rRNA from 1 species